CAUAUUGAAAAUUAUUUUUUAUACAUUAUACUAUUAUUGUCUUCAAGACUAUGAUAAUAAACUUUAUACAGAAUAGGUGUUAUGGACUCGGGGGCGGUACCCGACACCUCCACCAAAAAAUUAUGGGGGUGAAAUAGUGUUGACAUUCAUUAAAAAGUAUAAACUUUAUCCGGUAAGAUACAACCGUAAUAGUUCAAAUUAAAAUUAAAUGCAAACGAUAACGUUGCUAACAAUGUUGCAAUGGCUGCUUAGUCGUAAGACUAUAUUUCAAUAGAAAUAUUAUCGCUUGAUUGCGAUUGCUGUUGUAGCGGGGCUUGGGAACGCCUGUCAACAGAAGUUCCCAUU
rnacentral:tmRNA from 1 species